rnacentral:rRNA from 1 species
GAUGAACGCUGGCGGCGUGCCUAAUACAUGCAAGUCGAGCGAACGGACGAGAAGCUUGCUUCUCUGAUGUUAGCGGCGGACGGGUGAGUAACACGUGGAUAACCUACCUAUAAGACUGGGAUAACUUCGGGAAACCGGAGCUAAUACCGGAUAAUAUUUUGAACCGCAUGGUUCAAAAGUGAAAGACGGUGUUGCUGUCACUUAUAGAUGGAUCCGCGCUGCUUUAGCUAGUUGGUAAGGUAACGGCUUACCAAGGCAACGAUGCAUAGCCGACCUGAGAGAGUGGUCGGCCACACUGGAACUGAGACGCGGUCAAGACUCCUAAGGGAGGCAGCAGUAGGGAAUCUGCCGCAAUGGGCGAAAGCCUGACGGAGCAACGCCGCGUGAGUGAUGAAGGUCUUCGGAGAGUAAAACUCUGUUAUUGGGGAAGAACAUAUGUGUAAGUAACUGUGCACAGCGUGACGGUACCUAAUCAGAAAGCCACGGCUAACUACGUG